UACAGAGGGUGCAAGCGUUACUCGGAAUUACUUGGCGUAAAGCGUGCGCAGACGGUUGCGUAAGUCAGAUGUGAAAGCCCCGGGCUCAACCUGGGAAUUGCAUUUGAGACUGCGUAGCUAGGGUGCGGAAGAGGGAAGCGGAAUUUCCGGUGUAGCGGUGAAAUGCGUAGAUAUCGGAAGGAACACCAGUGGCGAAAGCGGCUUCCUGGUCCAGCACCGACGUUCAGGCACGAAAGCGUGGGGAGCAAACAGG
rnacentral:rRNA from 1 species